ensembl:misc_RNA Metazoa_SRP Metazoan signal recognition particle RNA
GCCUGGUGUGGUGGUGCACACCUGUAGUCCCAGCUACUCAGGAGGCUGAGAUGGGAGGCUUGCUUGAGCCUGGGAGUUCAAGGCUGCAGUGAGCUCUGAUCAUGCCACUGCACUCCAGCCUGGGCAACAGAGUGAAACCCUGUCUCAA